CAGCCGCCGCGGGAAUACGAAGGGUGCAAGCGUUAAUCAGAAUUACUGGGCGUAAGGCGUGCGUAGGCGGUGAGUUAAGUCUGCUGUGAAAUCCCCGGGCUCAACCUGGGAAUGGCAGUGGAUACUGGCUCGCUAGAGUGUGUCAGAGGAUGGUGGAAUUCCCGGUGUAGCGGUGAAAUGCGUAGAGAUCGGGAGGAACAUCAGUGGCGAAGGCGGCCAUCUGGGACAACACUGACGCUGAGGCACGAAAGCGUGGGGAGCAAACAGGAUUAGAUACCCGCGUAGUCCCUGUCUCUUAUAC
rnacentral:rRNA from 1 species